rnacentral:rRNA from 1 species
AUGCAAGUCAGGGCAGCACAAGGAGCAAUCUGAGGUGGCGACCGGCGCACGGGUGAGUAACACGUAUGCAACCUGCCUGUAAGCGGGGAAUAACCCGUUGAAAGACGGACUAAUACCGCAUAAUACUAAAUUACUGCAUGGUAAUUUAUUUAAACAUUUAUGGCUUACAGAUGGGCAUGCGCAUGAUUAGCUAGUUGGAGAGGUAACGGCUCCCCAAGGCAACGAUCAUUAGGGGUUCUGAGAGGAAGGUCCCCCACACUGGUACUGAGACACGGACCAGACUCCUACGGGAGGCAGCAGUGAGGAAUAUUGGUCAAUGGACGAGAGUCUGAACCAGCCAAGUCGCGUGCAGGAAGAAUGUCCCUAUGGAUUGUAAACUGCUUUUGCAGGGGAAUAAAGUGCAUCACGUGUGAUGUUUUGUAUGUACUCUGCGAAUAAGGAUCGGCUAACUCCGUGCCAGCCGCCGC